AAAACCGAAAUUCUUGGUGCACCAGAUUUGUACAUCAAUCGGGGUAGUACGAUCAAUCUGACGUGCGUUGUCCUCCUAAGUCCGGAGCCACCAGCUUACAUAUUUUGGAAUCAUAACGACGCCCUUUUAUCCCGAGACGUACGUUGUUCCUUCGUGGAACUACACUUCCGCGAAGCAAGUAGUUCCGCGCAAAAGAACAGGCCAUAAAGCAGCGAUAGAGUGAAACACCGAUUUUUAAUAACCGUGACAUAGUUAACCGCUAAACUGUCUUGACUGAUAAUGGCUGCAUAGAAGACACCAUUAAGCACAUUAAGUCUGACCAACAGCCUUGGGAGUAGGUUCGCACAGAUCCGACGAGCUUCAAGAUGAAUUUCACGCCGCGUGUGACUAACGCAUGUGGAUGUUGUUCACGAGACAACGGGGACCCGAGUAAUUUGCGAAACGGUAGAUCCAAACUAAACUUUAACGACUAUACCCAGAAAUUAGUCCAUGAACGAAUGUUAAUGUAUCUGUAUUAGUGAAUAAAAAUGUCCAGUUUCAUUUAUGA